rnacentral:lncRNA from 1 species
UGAUAUUGUUGAUGUUUGCUGUCUGAAUACUAACUCUUUUGCUGAUGCAGUUGAUACCCCAGCUAAUAUAGCUCUUCCUUCUGAUACAACAAAAACAAACUUCCACGACAGAUGCAUUGUUGCUAUCAAUACUGCUACAUCGCUAGUACUGUUAUACAUGCAGAGGCGAACCCAGGAUUUGAAGAGCGCGGGUGCAUUAUUAUC